GCGUUCGGGCAUUUGGUCAAUUUGAAGCGAUACAGAGAAGAUUGGCAUGGCCCCUGCACUAAGGAUGACACGCUCAAUCAAAGAGAAGCUACCUUAGUAG
rnacentral:snRNA from 1 species